CACGUAGGGGGCAAGCGUUAUCCGGAUUCAUUGGGCGUAAAGCGCACGCAGGUGGCUUUUCAAGUCUGACGUGAAAUCUCUCGGCUUAACUGGGAGGGGUCGUUGGAAACUGAUUGGCUUGAGGCAAUGAGAGGGGUGUAGAAUUCCUGGUGUAGUGGUGGAAUGCGUAGAUAUCAGGAGGAAUACCAGUGGCGAAAGCGGCACGCUGGCAUUGGUCUAACGCUCAUGUGCGAAAGCGUGGGGAGCAAACGGG
rnacentral:rRNA from 1 species